ACGCUCGACACCUACGGGGGGCAGCAGUGGGGGAUAUUGCACAAUGGGGGAAACCCUGAUGCAGCGACGCCGCGUGAAGGAAGAAGGCCUUCGGGUUGUAAACUUCUGUCGUACGGGACGAUAAUGACGGUACCGUACAAGAAAGCCACGGCUAACUACGUGCCAGCAGCAGCGGUAAUCUGAGCGGGCUGGCAAGGC
rnacentral:rRNA from 1 species